AUCUUUAUUAUGUAUCCUGACAGAUUUACCUUCAUACAUCUAAACACUAUAGUAGUGUUAUUAUGUAUCCAGAAAGCUUGUGUCCUUGUUCAGCUCUCAUGUAGAGAAGUGGCCAAGUGGGGAAGGGCAAUGGUUGGUUCUGUUUUUGGCAGAAGCAUUGGGCCAUUGACAUCACUACUUGGCCCCAAGUUCAUUCCCAACUUCAUUGUACUGUUUUGACAGAAUUCCCAGAAAAACCAGUUUUGGAACCCCACAAGUUUAGCCAUUUUUGUCCACUUUGAUUCUCUUAUUUCCCCGUUUCAGUCUUCUUCUCAUCACAUUGCAAUGAUCUUCGUCAAAAUGGGAUGCUUU
rnacentral:misc_RNA from 1 species